rnacentral:rRNA from 1 species
UACGGGGGGAGCAAGCGUUGUUCGGAUUUACUGGGCGUAAAGGGCGCGUAGGCGGCCAGCACAAGUCAGUUGUGAAAUCUCCGGGCUUAACUCGGAAAGGUCAACUGAUACUGUGCGGCUAGAGUGCAGAAGGGGCAACUGGAAUUCUCGGUGUAGCGGUGAAAUGCGUAGAUAUCGAGAGGAACACCUGCGGCGAAGGCGGGUUGCUGGGCCUGACACUGACGCUGAUGCGCGAAAGCCAGGGAGGCGAACGGG